AGCGAACGCUGGCGGCAGGCCUAACACAUGCAAGUCGAACGAACUCUUCGGAGUUAGUGGCGGACGGGUGAGUAACACGUGGGAACGUGCCUUUUGGUUCGGAAUAACUCAGGGAAACUUGUGCUAAUACCGAAUGUGCCCUUCGGGGGAAAGAUUUAUCGCCAUUAGAGCGGCCCGCGUCUGAUUAGCUAGUUGGUGAGGUAACGGCCCACCAAGGCGACGAUCAGUAGCUGGUCUGAGAGGAUGACCAGCCACACUGGGACUGAGACACGGCCCAGACUCCUACGGGAGGCAGAAGUGGGGAAUCUUGCGAAAUGGGCGAAAGCCUGACGCAGCCAUGCCGGGUGAAUGAUGAAGGUCUUAGGAUUGUAAAAUUCUUUCACCGGGGACGAUAAUGACGGUACCCGGAGAAGAAGCCCCGGCUAACUUCGUG
rnacentral:rRNA from 1 species